AUACGGAGGAUCCGAGCGUUAUCCGGAUUUAUUGGGUUUAAAGGGUGCGCAGGCGGCCAUUUAAGUCAGCGGUUAAAUCGUGGGGCUCAACCCCAUUCUGCCGUUGAUACUGGGUGGCUUGAUUGCGGUCGAGGUUGGCGGAAUUCGUUGUGUAGCGGGGAAAUGCAUAGAUAUGACGAAGAACACCGAUUGCGUAGGCAGCUGACCAGACCGCAAAUGACGCUCAUGCACGAAAGUGCGGGGAUCGAACAGGAUUAGAUACCCUGGUAGUCCGCACAGUAAACGAUGAAUACUUGUUUUCGGCGAUAUAAUGUCGGAGGCAAAGCGAAAGCGAUAAGUAUUCCACCUGGGGAGUACGCCGGCAACGGUGAAACUCAAAGGAAUUGACGGGG
rnacentral:rRNA from 1 species